CAAGGUAAUUGAAGGAAAAAU
rnacentral:piRNA from 1 species